CGGGGAAACUCGGGCUAAUACCGCAUGAUACCGAGAGGUCAAAGGGGGCUCGCAAGGGCUCUCGCCAUAGGAGGGGUCCGCGUCCGAUUAGCUAGUUGGUAGGGUAACGGCCUACCAAGGCGACGAUCGGUAGCCGGCCUGAGAGGGUGAUCGGCCACACUGGAACUGAGACACGGUCCAGACUCCUACGGGAGGCAGCAGUGGGGAAUUUUGCGCAAUGGGCUAACGCCUGACGCAGCAACGCCGCGUGGAGGAUGAAGGUCUUUGGAUUGUAAACUCCUGUCAGCAGGGAAAAAGCGAAUUGGCCUAAUACGCCAGUGAGUUGAUUGUACCUGCAGAGGAAGCCCCGGCUAACUCUGUGCCAGCAGCCGCGGUAAUACAGAGGGGGCAAGCGUUAUUCGGAAUUAUUGGGCGUAAAGGGCGCGUAGGCGGCUUGGCAAGUGGAUGGUGAAAUCCCUCGGCUUAACCGAGGAACUGCCGUCCAAACUGCUUUGCUUGAGGCCGGGAGAGGCGAGUGGAAUUCCCAGUGUAGCGGUGAAAUGCGUAGAUAUUGGGAGGAACACCGGUGGCGAAGGCGGCUCGCUGGACCGGUUCUGACGCUGAGGCGCGAAAGCGUGGGGAGCAAACGGGAUUAGAUA
rnacentral:rRNA from 1 species